rnacentral:rRNA from 1 species
CGCAACGGGGAUGCUCAGUACGGCGAGUGAAGCGGCAAGAGCUCAAAUUUGAAAUCUGGCCCCUCCGGGGUCCGAGUUGUAAUUUGCAGAGGAUGCUUCGGGUGCGGCCCCUGUCUAAGUGCCCUGGAACGGGCCGUCAGAGAGGGUGAGAAUCCCGUCUUGGGCAGGGUGCCCGUGCCCGUGUGAAGCUCCUUCGACGAGUCGAGUUGUUUGGGAAUGCAGCUCAAAAUGGGUGGUAAAUUUCAUCUAAAGCUAAAUACCGGCCGGAGACCGAUAGCGCACAAGUAGAGUGAUCGAAAGAUGAAAAGCACUUUGAAAAGAGAGUUAAACAGCACGUGAAAUUGUUGAAAGGGAAGCGCUUGCAACCAGACUCGGCCUCGGGGUUCAGCCAGCAUUCGUGCUGGUGUACUUCCCCGGGGCCGGGCCAGCGUCGGUUUGGGCGGCCGGUCAAAGGCCCCAGGAAUGUAUCGUCCUCCGGGACGUCUUAUAGCCUGGGGUGCAAUGCGGCCAGCCUGGACCGAGGAACGCGCUUCGGCACGGACGCUGGCGUAAUGGUCGCAAACGACCCGUCUUGAAAC